rnacentral:tRNA from 1 species
GCCGCCAUAGCUCAGGGGUAGAGCGCACCCUUGGUAAGGGUGAGGUCCAAAGUUCAAAUCUUUGUGGCGGCACCA